UGUUGUAGAUAUCGUUCUGUUCUGGUCGCCAGUAAGGAGAGUUCGUGAUAUUACCAUAAUGCGCCAUGUUACUACCACCAUGUUUCUGAAAUGGUAGUACUGCUGAUGGUGGCAAGUAAGGAGGUCUCGUGAUAUUACCAUACUGCCCUGAAGGAACUUGCAACUGAGAGUAAUGAGGGUUUAUGGCUUGUGGGUUCCUCUGUGUCUGUGGUAGUAGGUUCAUGGCUUGUUGGUUCCUCUUUGGUACAAAGUCAGUGGAUGUUAUAAAUGCCUGCGCCAAAAAAUGAAUUAAUACCCGUUCGGGUAUUUUGCUACUUCGAUUCGGAUUUUUUGGGUCGGGUUUGGGUGCGGCUUCGGGUAUCAGGUAAAGUGCCCACCCCUGGUAUAAACUAUGGAAAUAUAUACCAAGUUAGUGCAUAUCAUAUAAAUUAAUUGAAGGGUCAACUUUGUUUGUCAGCUCUCAGCGACACCUUGUCACUUUCUAGGUGCGAGUGACAAACGGCACGACGUGUCGUUUUCGCCGUCCCAGAUUACGUGGUUUCGGCGAUUUGAGCAUUUCUUACACCUUUUUCUAUAAUAUCAUUUGACACCUUUCUCAUUUUGAGAAACAAUCAAUCAUAAAGAAUAUUUCUAUUGACAGUUUCAUCAGAUAAAACAAGUGAUUUAAAAAAAAAUGAUUUAUCGUAAUGUAUAUCUUGAAUAUUUGAUGAACCUAGUAUUAACAAAAAAGAAGCAUAGAACGUAGUAUAUCCACAAAACGUUAUCAGAGUAUUUUCGAAGGCACAAACAAAGUAGCUUAAAGCCAUCUAAAGAAAGUCAUUAGUUCUGAUAUGGUUGAUUUUUGACUACUCUAGUUGUCUCUUGGCCUUGACCGUUGUUGGGUUUGGUCAGAUGGAUCACUCCUAUCGUUUUGUUGGUCCAGAGAUGCAUAGAUAUCAUUCCAAAUUUGCUGUUCUUCUGGGCUGUGGCUGGAAUUAGGUCGCCACGCAUUUGAAUCUCCACUCUGAGAACAAAACAACGAGCAAGCGAAAAUAGAAAGCAAGAGUCACGGAUCAUACCAAACCGAAAUUUUCAAAGGCUCAAAUUAAGAUUUGAUGGGUUUCACACCUGAUGCGGCUGAAUUGAUGGCAAGUAGUUGCUCGAGUCACCACCUUCAUACCCAAACCUCGAAUUUGCUGGGUUAUUAUCACUCCACGUGCCAAAGGGGUUAGCAGAACCAUAAACAGAAGGAACCAUAGAGGCAGCUGAGUACUGAGGCAUGUUGUAGCUGCCGUGCUGUUCUGGCCGCCAGUAAGGAGAGUUCGUGAUAUUACCAUAAUGCGCCAUGUUACUACGACCAUGUUGCUGAAAUGCUGCUGCUGACUGAGGAGGCAUGUUGUAGAUAUCGUUCUGUUCUGGUCGCCAGUAAGGAGAGUUCGUGAUAUUACCAUAAUGCGCCAUGUUACUACCACCAUGUUUCUGAAAUGGUAGUACUGCUGAUGGUGGCAAGUAAGGAGGUCUCGUGAUAUUACCAUACUGCCCUGAAGGAACUUGCAACUGAGAGUAAUGAGGGUUUAUGGCUUGUGGGUUCCUCUGUGUCUGUGGUAGUAGGUUCAUGGCUUGUUGGU
rnacentral:lncRNA from 1 species